rnacentral:rRNA from 1 species
AGUCGAACGUGAAAGCACUUCGGUGUGAGUAGAGUGGCGGACGGGUGAGUAACGCGUGGGAAUCUACCCAGUAGUGGGGGACAACUACCGGAAACGGUAGCUAAUACCGCAUACGCCCUAUGGGGGAAAGGCUUCGGCCGCUAUUGGAUGAGCCCGCGUCAGAUUAGCUAGUUGGUAGGGUAAAGGCCUACCAAGGCAACGAUCUGUAGCUGGUCUGAGAGGACGAACAGCCACACUGGGACUGAGACACGGCCCAGACUCCUACGGGAGGCAGCAGUGGGGAAUAUUGGACAAUGGGCGAAAGCCUGAUCCAGCAAUGCCGCGUGUGUGAAGAAGGCCUGCGGGUUGUAAAGCACUUUCAGUUGGGAAGAUGAUGACGUUACCAACAGAAGAAGCACCGGCUAAAUCCGUGCCAGCAGCCGCGGUAAUACGGAUGGUGCGAGCGUUAAUCGGAAUUACUGGGCGUAAAGCGCGCGUAGGCGGCUAAGUCAGUCAGAAGUGAAAGCCCCGGGCUCAACCUGGGAAUUGCUUUUGAUACUGCUUAGCUAGAGUUUGGUAGAGGAUAGUGGAAUUCCAGGUGUAGCGGUGAAAUGCGUAGAUAUCUGGAGGAACAUCAGUGGCGAAGGCGACUGUCUGGACCAAAACUGACGCUGAGGUGCGAAAGCGUGGGUAGCAAACAGGAUUAGAUACCCUGGUAGUCCACGCCGUAAACGAUGUCAACUAGCCGUCGGGUCUAUUUACAGACUUGGUGGCGAAGCUAACGCGAUAAGUUGACCGCCUGGGGAGUACGGCCGCAAGGUUAAAACUCAAAGGAAUUGACGGGGGCCCGC